GAAAAAUAGAUCAUGACCAAAAAAUUGAAAUAUCAACAUUAAUUGAACUAACCACAUAAGCAAGAAUUCCAAUUCCGACUCCCAUUAACAAUCUUCCAAGGUCAAGUGACCAGGCACUCUGUGAAGAUUGCUUAGACAUUUAAAUUAUGCUUAAAAGCAAUAAAUAAAUAAAUAAAGUGAGACUGGUCAAUCUCGAGAGGGAAGAAAUCCACACCCAAAGGUCUUUU
rnacentral:misc_RNA from 1 species